rnacentral:lncRNA from 1 species
UAAUGGAAUGCAAUGCUCAGAGUAGUAAAUUAUUUGUUAGUUGACGAUGCAAUCAGCAUGCUGAUUAAGGUUGCUUGGUUUUUUACUAAACAUUAACUGAAUGAAAACGGGUAGUCCUUGUUCUGCUUGGGGGGCUUUAAGGAAGCAAAUGGACUUUCAGAACAGAGAUUGUCAAUAAAGGUGUUGUGCCAUGUUAAAGACCCUCUUGUCAUUUUUAUUAUUCAUGGAUGGACGCUAAUUCUACAAGUCAGUUUAAGUGCUAUGGAGUCCCAUUUGCACCUGGAAUGCUGGGAACAGGGGAUGGAGCAGCAAGAAGCAAUUGAAAGGAUUAGGAUGGAACCUUCCUCAAGCUUCACAGGCUUGUCUGCUGGCCACAGACACCAUUAUGUACACAGGAAAAUCAGAUCAUUAUCUAAGGCCAACAAGCUCCUCCUUGAGAUGUUCUGCCAUAUAAUCUGGAGGAAAUACUGUAAGACUUUGUCAGCACUGAGUCAUUUGCACUGGGAGUCUUACCAGAAAAAAAAAAUCUUGUCUUCUCAGAAGGUUGUUUACUGUUCUAUUCAAAGAUCAAUUUGUCAUGUCAACACUUUCUCUAAUACAAUGGCAAGUGGCAAGAACAAACUGUACAGAAUCCUGUUUCCAAGUAAGCAAAAGUGCACUGUGGGGAAGACUGGUAUAGCCUAAGCAGGUAUUAUAAGCAGAGACAGAUAGAUACGGGUUAAAGGCAAAGUUUUUUUGCCUUACGAGAUCCUAGAAUGAAGGUGACAUAGAGGGGACACAAAAGACAUAUAAUUAGAUAUAAAUGUUACCUUUACCCCAAACUCAGUCUUUCCUUUCUACUGACCAUUUAGGGCUCAAUUCACUAAUCUCCCACUUUAAUAUACAUUUGAAUUUUACCCCCCACUUCUUGAGACCACUUAUCUCAAGAAAGAUGUUACAUGACAGCUUUUAAGAUGCCAUGGUACAGAAACAAUUAAGUAUGCACCUGGUCCAUUAAAAGUGGCCUAUAUAAGAAAUAAGAUAUUCUACAGAAUUCUAUAAAUCCUGCUACUGCCACUCCCUGCUCCCUGGUAUCUGUUACCUUGUUUGUGUCAAUAGUCGCAGAUCCUAUGUUCCUGUUCUUACCUCAGUCUUUGGCAUUUUCUGUGUAACCCCUGGUAAUCAUAUUUAGCAGCCCUCCACUACACCCCUCAAUUUAAUGCUCCUAUUCUUUACUGGUGCUUUCACUGCCUUCCUCCUGAAGUCUUACUUUACCCUUCCCAUGUUUUAUGUGGUCUGACAGCUAUGUCUCAUGUCUUCUUUUAUCUAUGCUAGCAUAUGUAUUUGGUCAAUUCAGAAAAAUAAAAGUUUAUUUUAAUAUGCA